AGAUUCAAUUGUGCUAUAAACAAAUUAAAUUUAUUUGUUUUUUCUUUAGAGAGAAAUGUAGCAUGCUAUCCGCUUUAUUUAUUUUAUUUAGAAAUAAACUUAGCUGGAAAUAUGAAUCAACUAGUAUUCAAACUUGGGUCUCGGGUACCAACCAUUAAGUUUUUUUGCCACUUGCGCUCGGGACGGUCGGUAAAUUAGAUUUAUUAAUAUUAUUGAUAUAUGGCAGUGAUGUGAUAUUUUAAUUAUUAUUAUAUUAGCAUCUCGUCACCAUUUAGUUAAGUAAAUUAUAUU
rnacentral:lncRNA from 1 species